rfam:Gossypium raimondii Chr08_contig_1321, whole genome shotgun sequence.
UAUUAAAAAUUUCAUCCACUUGUACUAUUUAAAACUAGUAUGGUUGACAGAAUAACCAAACAAUGACACGUGGGGCGUGUCACGUAUACCUCAUGUUGACCUAUAGGGAACAAUUUUUUAACAAUAGAAAUGGAUGAAAUUUUUAACU